rnacentral:rRNA from 1 species
UAGGGAAUCUUCGGCAAUGGGGGCAGCCCUGACCGAGCAACGCCGCGUGAGUGAAGAAGGUUUUCGGAUCGUAAAGCUCUGUUGUAAGUCAAGAACGAGUGUGAGAGUGGAAAGUUCACACUGUGACGGUAGCUUACCAGAAAGGGACGGCUAACUACGUGCCAGCAGCCGCGGUAAUACGUAGGUCCCGAGCGUUGUCCGGAUUUAUUGGGCGUAAAGCGAGCGCAGGCGGUUUGAUAAGUCUGAAGUUAAAGGCUGUGGCUCAACCAUAGUUCGCUUUGGAAACUGUCAAACUUGAGUGCAGAAGGGGAGAGUGGAAUUCCAUGUGUAGCGGUGAAAUGCGUAGAUAUAUGGAGGAACACCGGUGGCGAAAGCGGCUCUCUGGUCUGUAACUGACGCUGAGGCUCGAAAGCGUGGGGAGCGAACAGGAUUAGAUACCCUGGUAGUCCACGCCGUAAACGAUGAGUGCUAGGUGUUGGAUCCUUUCCGGGAUUCAGUGCCGCAGCUAACGCAUUAAGCACUCCGCCUGGGGAGUACGACCGCAAGGUUG